UCUUUGGCUAGAGAUUACCUCUUCUUGAGCUGUCACUUCCUGUUAGAAGAGUAAAGCUUCCUCAUCUAUUUGUCUUCCUCUGAAAUUCCUUUGUUACUGCCCUUUCUUCUAGAACUACAAACACAAAUGCCUACGUCUUUUUGUUCCCCAGGAUUCCAAUCUUGGAGAUUUAAUCAAAUAACAAUGACAGCCUGGGUAUUGUACAGCAUUUUCAUCUGAAGCAGAGUGAACUCACCACAAAAGGGUAACAUCUCUAAAGUUUGCAGCAUCAUCUCAUCUGAAGCAUGAUGUACCAUAAAACACAUGGAGCAUUUCUGUCAAAAUUUUCAUGUAAACACUUGGAAUGAGACUGUACCUGGGCUCAGAAAUCUCCUCAUGUGGAAGAAGAAAAAGCAAAAAAAAUCUACUGCUGGAGCACUGACUGUGGCAAACAGAAGACACUGUGUAAUAGCUUCAGCUGCUCAGUGGUGUGGUGAUGAUAUCUUCUGUCUUAUUAUGGCUGCUUGGAUGCUUCAAAGAAAGAUCACCUUAAAGGUUUCUAAAACUGUAUCUUUUAUAGCAGAUGUGUGAAGGGAUGUGCAAAUCAAAGGGCUUCUGUCAUUUCUGGCUGAAGUCCAAACAUCUUGGAACAACUCAGCAGAGAGUUUGAAUUGCUCACUCCAUCAUCUAUAGUGGAAUAAGUCUAAUAAUCAGAAUUCUUCUGAAGUGAUCAAAAAUUUAUGCCUAGGCAGGCUUACAGUGUUAGAGAUGCAUACUAUGUAUUAGGAGUUAAAACAUCACAUUUGAGUAUUUCUGCCAAAAUUUUUGUCUGUUUCUGCUAUAAUUUCAGGAGAACUUGGUGGCAGCUAUUAAGGUUAGUGAGUUACUGUAAAUAAGUUGUUUGAGUACAUUUGCAUUGGAAGAAUAUUCAGUGAAAUUAGGGUCAGUGUUAUAGACAGUAGAACACUUUGGCAAAUCUAACAAGGAAUUUAAAAGUUAAUAAAGCAGAAAUGUAUGUAUCUCACCCUUAUGUCCCUAUAAUAAAUAAAUCUCAUCAUUUAAGAGAAAAUCUUCCAUUUGAACUAAAAGAAAUUGUAUUCAUUUGUUAAAGAAUUAUUGAUGUUUCUUGUGGAAAAACUGAUAACAAACUGGCAAGAGUUGCUGUAUUCAGAUAAAUCUUAGCCAAAUGUUUCUUUGACCAGUAUAUCCUUUCUACGGUUUGUGAAUGGCUUGACAGUCAAAGGCACAGUUUUCUUCCACUUCUCUUCAAAAAUAUUAUCUCUUUAUGUUCUUCAAAUAUCAAAGCACGGCUUUGUUGAAGUGGAGGAAAAUACUGCUUGCCUUGAUUGCAGCUGGGGAGAUCCUGACCAGAAAGGAAGAACAGAUAUUUGGCACAUAGCCUUUGAAAAUAUGAAAGGUGGGAACUGAGAGGAGGGCAGGCAGGCAGGUGGGAAAGGGCUGAGGCAUUAACAUCGCACUGCACAAGUGGAAGGAUGCUUCAUACCAAGCAGAACUUAACAGGAGGCUGCUGUGGUCUUUGCCUCCACUGUCCGUAGUAAAUUUGCACCUAGUGUGUAUUUUCUGUUACAUCAGCAUGCAAAUGUAAUGAACAAUAUUAAUAAGCUUCAAAGGUCAUCCUCCUCUCUACUUAUGACAAGAACUGUUUCAUCAAUUGUCCAUUCGGUUAUAGCAGCCUCCACAGAUUAUUCAGGCAAGGAAAAUAAUUUUUUUUUUCAUUUGUGUUUUUGGAUUUAUCUGCCCACUCCUCUGUCCAAGUUUCAUAACACACUGGGGCAAGAAUUCAACAUCUGAAUUACAGGAAAAUUAAGCAUGCAGUCCUGUUUUUGUUUCUGCUAUGUGUGUGUGUUUUUUUUUUUUAAUGUAAUGCAUAAUCACAUCAUUAAAUAAGAUUUGAUAGUAUUAAUGUCAGGCAUCCCCUAUGAGACCUUUUGCUUUUCAAGUUGCCUUCGAUACCAAUAAAAAUACUCUAGCAAACACUUGCUAAAAU
rnacentral:lncRNA from 7 species